ACAUUAGUGACUGCGGAGGGACAUUACACAAAUAUGAAGGCGGGCUGGAACCUCUCGGGGUUACAGCCUUGCUGAAUUAUUCACCCUUGUCUUUUGCGUACUUCUUGUUUCCUUGGUGGGUUCGCCCACCACUAGGACAAACAUAAACCUUUUGUAAUUGCAAUCAGCGUCAGUAACAAAUUAAUAAUUACAACUUUCAACAACGGAUCUCUUGGUUCUGGCAUCGAUGAAGAACGCAGCGAAAUGCGAUAAGUAGUGUGAAUUGCAGAAUUCAGUGAAUCAUCGAAUCUUUGAACGCACAUUGCGCCCUUUGGUAUUCCAAAGGGCAUGCCUGUUCGAGCGUCAUUUGUACCCUCAAGCUUUGCUUGGUGUUGGGCGUCUUGUCUCUAGCUUUGCUGGAGACUCGCCUUAAAGUAAUUGGCAGCCGGCCUACUGGUUUCGGAGCGCAGCACAAGUCGCACUCUCUAUCAGCAAAGGUCUAGCAUCCAUUAAGCCUUUUUUUCAACUUUUGACCUCGGAUCAGGUAGGGAUACCCGCUGAACUUAAGCAUAUCAUAAGCCCGGAGGAAU
rnacentral:rRNA from 1 species